rnacentral:rRNA from 1 species
CCUACGGGAGGCAGCAGUGAGGAAUAUUGGUCAAUGGGUGAGAGCCUGAACCAGCCAAGUCGCGUGAAGGAUGACGGCCCUACGGGUUGUAAACUUCUUUUGUCAGGGAGCAAUUGGGUCCACGCGUGGGCUUAGCGAGAGUACCUGAAGAAAAAGCAUCGGCUAACUCCGUGCCAGCAGCCGCGGUAAUACGGAGGAUGCGAGCGUUAUCCGGAUUUAUUGGGUUUAAAGGGUGCGUAGGCGGAAUAUCAAGUCAGCGGUAAAAAUUCGGGGCUCAACCCCGUCGUGCCGUUGAAACUGAUGUUCUUGAGUACAGUAGAGGUGGGCGGAAUUCGUGGUGUAGCGGUGAAAUGCUUAGAUAUCACGAAGAACUCCGAUUGCGAAGGCAGCUCACUGGACUGCAACUGACACUGAGGCUCGAAAGUGUGGGUAUCAAACAGGAUUAGAUACCCUAGUAGUC